rnacentral:rRNA from 1 species
GACGAACGCUGGCGGCGUGCUUAACACAUGCAAGUCGAACGAAGAGCGAUGGAAGCUUGCUUCUAUCAAUCUUAGUGGCGAACGGGUGAGUAACGCGUAAUCAACCUGCCCUUCAGAGGGGGACAACAGUUGGAAACGACUGCUAAUACCGCAUACGAUCUAACCUCGGCAUCGAGGAUAGAUGAAAGGUGGCCUCUAUUUAUAAGCUAUUACUGAAGGAGGGGAUUGCGUCUGAUUAGCCAGUUGGAGGGGUAACGGCCCACCAAGGCGAUGAUCAGUAGCCGGUCUGAGAGGAUGAACGGCCACAUUGGGACUGAGACACGGCCCAGACUCCUACGGGAGGCAGCAGUGGGGAAUCUUCCGCAAUGGACGAAAGUCUGACGGAGCAACGCCGCGUGAGUGAUGACGGCCUUCGGGUUGUAAAGCUCUGUUAAUCGGGACGAAAGGCCUUUCUUGCGAAUAGUUAGAAAGGAAUGACGGCACCCGAAUAAAAAAC